CCCCCCCUCCCCAAAUCCGGCUUGGCCUGCUGGUGUGUUGGUGGUCCUCAGUGUCCGGUAACUGGGUGCUCGGUUAACGAACCUGGACCGGACAUGGACCCGUCUCUGGAUUGUUCCCUUUUCUGUACUCCUGCCGGACCCCUGCCCUCUGUUGCCGACCCUGGACUGCCCCUGGAUCACGUCUCUGGAAAUCCCCACAGGAACUGUCCACCUUUGCGUCAGCGGCCCAUUGGCCCGCAACCCAGCUAACUCUGCCUGGGAGCAGACCUCAGCCUCAGUCCCGCUCUCCUGCCAUAAGUCGGCACACUGAGUCCUGGUCCCCUCUCAGUCAGGGGUUCCAGCCCGAGCGGGAGCAGCGCGCCCAGAUUGUUCGUGCCUUUCUCCAUUUAAAUAAAGCUUGUUAAAAUGUCA